rnacentral:tRNA from 1 species
UAGUCUAGUGGUAUGAUUCUCGCUUAGGGUGCGAGAGGUCCCGGGUUCAAUUCCCGG